rnacentral:rRNA from 1 species
AUUUCACGUGUAGGGGUAAAAUCCGUAGAGAUGUGAAGGAACACCGGUGGCGAAGGCGCCAACCUGGAUGAGUAUUGACGCUGAGGCGCGAAAGCGUGGGAGCAAACAGGAUUAGAUACCCUGGUAGUCCACGCCGUAAACGAUGAGUACUAGCCAUUGGAGGUAUUGACCCCUUCAGUAGCAAAGCUAACGCAUUAAGUACUCCGCCUGGGAAGUACGGUCGCAAGACUAAAACUCAAAGGAAUUGACGGGGGCCCGCACAAGCGGUGGAUUAUGUGGUUUAAUUCGAAGCAACGCGCAGAACCUUACCUAGGCUUGAAAUCCACGGAAUCUGGGGUAACGCCCGGAGUGCUCGCAAGAGAAUCGUGAGACAGGUGCUGCAUGGCUGUCGUCAGCUCGUGUUGUGAAAUGUUGGGUUAAGUCUCGCAACGAGCGCAACCCCUAUCUUUAGUUGCCAGCAUUAAGUUGGGCACUCUAGAGAGACUGCCCGGGUUAACCGGGAGGAAGGUGGGGAUGACGUCAAGUCCUCAUGGCCCUUAUGCCUAGGGCUACACACGUAAUACAAUGGUACACACAAAGGGAAGCGACCUGGUGACAGCAAGCAAAUCUCAAAAAGUGUAUCUCAGUUCGGAUUGGAGUCUGCAACUCGACUCCAUGAAGUUGGAAUCGCUAGUAAUCGCGGAUCAGCACGCCGCGGUGAAUACGUUCCCGGGCCUUGUACACACCGCCCGUCACACCAUGGGAGUUGUUUUCAUUUUAAGACGUGACU